rnacentral:rRNA from 1 species
GUCUUUUUGAUAAUAAUUUAAAGUCUGGCCUGCCCAAUGAUAAUUUGAAUGGCCGCGGUAUUUUGACCGUGCAAAGGUAGCAUAAUCAUUAGUUUUUUAAUUGAAAGCUGGAAUGAAUGGCUGAACGAGAAAAUUACUGUCUCAAUUUUAUUUAAUUAGAAUUUUAUUUUUAAGUAAAAAAGCUUAAAUAUUUUUAAAAGACGAGAAGACCCUAUAGAGUUUAAUAUUUUAUUGUUAUUUAAAUUUUUAUAAUAAUAGUAUUAUGAUAAAAUAUUUUAUUGGGGUGAUAAAUAAAUUUAAAAAACUUUAUUUUUAUUUAAACAUAAAUUUAUGAUUAAUUGAUCCAUAUUUAAUGAUUAUAAGAAUAAAUUACCUUAGGGAUAACAGCGUAAUUUUUUUAGAGAGUUCAAAUCGAAAAAAAAGAUUGCGACCUCGAUGUUGGAUUAAAGUUAAUUUUUGGUGUAGUCGCUAAAAAAUUAAGUCUGUUCGACUUUUAAAACUUUACAUGAUCUGAGUUUAAACCGGUGUGAGCCAGGUUGGUUUCUAUCUUUAAAAAAAUAAAAUAUUUUAGUACGAAAGGACCAAAUAUUUAUAAAAUUUAUUUUUAUUUUGAAUAU